CAAUAGCGUAUAUUAAAGUUGAUGCAGUUAAAACGCUCGUAGUUUGGGUUUGUGGGUGGUGUGUUUGGAUGGUCAGUUUGGCUGACGGAUGCAUGGCCUUUUUUGUUUGGGACUUGAUUUGGAUUGAGGACCAAAGGGUUACUGUGAAGAAAUUAGAGUGUUUAAAGCAGGCUCAAGCCGUUGAAUACUAGAGCAUGGAAUAACAGAUGUAGCGUGUCUGUUGGUUUGGAUGGAGUGUGGAAUAGGUUGAUAGGGUCAGUUGGGGGCAUUAGUAUUCAAUAGUUAGAGGUGAAAUUCGGGGAUUUAUUGAAGACUAACAGGAGCGAAGGCAUUUGCCAAGGAUGUUUUCAUUAA
rnacentral:rRNA from 1 species